GCAGUGUAAGUGAGGAAGAGGGCAUAGGGUGGAGUAGUCGGAUGGAAUGCAUGGUUUGAAGAAUCCUAUUUAUCGGGCUGAAAAAUGGUUCCCAUUCCAUCCCAACUCGAAGCUGGGGCCCCUGAAAGGGUCUGACAGUCCUGGCUAACCCCUGGAAAGUUAGCCAAGUCUCCACCGGUGGUUGUUGCUGGCAAUGGAGGGGAUGGAGCUGAGCUCUCAGGAGAAACUGCAGAGGCUUUGCGGUGCCCCAAGGUACCAAGUGAGAACUAGAGAGGAGGGUCCAAGCCCACGGAGCUGGGCAAACAGUCCUGUACCCCAACGCUAACAAGAAGCCAAGGGUGCUGCUGCUGAUGAUGGAGGCAGCGGUGGACCAGUUCAGCCCAGCACCUGCCUCAGAGUGAAGCUCCUGUUCCCUGUUUGUCAGCAUUCUGUGUGCAGUAAUGCUCAUCAGAUGAUAAAGACUUCGUUCCUUUGUGGAAAAUGUCCCCAAGAAGAAAUCCUGGAGCCCUCCUUGACUGUUGUCUUUCUCUCAAGCCUCACAUGGAAUCUGUUGGCACAUCCAGAAUCUCACCUCUUUCACCAGGGCUACACCCCUGCUCCAAGUCACCAUUAUCUUUCACCUGAAUUGUUUCAACAGAUUCUUGGCUGGUAUUCCUGUUUCCACCCUGGCCCCUCUUUGGUCUUUUCUCAACUCAAUAUCAAGAGGGAUCCUUUUAAAUAUAGAGUAGAUCAAGUUACUCUACUCAAACCCUCUAAUGGCAAUAAAAGCCAAAAUCCGUAUGGUGAAUGACAGGGCUUCUGUGAUAGGCCCCAUUAACGCUCCAACUUCAUCUCCCUGUAUCUGCUUGCACCAUGCGUGCUCACUGGCCAAACCUGUUACUCAAACACACCAGGCAUGGUCCCUUCUCAGGGCCUUUGCACCUGCGGAUCCUUCUGCCUGGAGCUCUUUUCCUCCAGACAGCCACAGGGGGCCCUCUUAUUUCCCUUAGAUAUUAACAUUACUAUCUCCUUUACAGUGAAACCUUCCCUGACCAAAACUCAAAAUUCCAACUCCAUCCCCAACUCUUCCUAAUCCCCUUCCCUGCUUUAUUUUUCUCCUCGGCAUGUAUUGUUAUCUAACAUACUAUGUAUUUUAUUUAUUUAUCUUGUUUAUUGUGUGACUCUCCCACUAGACCAUAAAUUCUAGGAGGGCAGGGCUCUAUCUUCACUACCUAGCAUGCUGUCUAUUAAGCAUUUCAAAUAAAUGUGUUGAAUGAAUAACGAAAACUGAAAUGGGGAAAAAUGUAUGGUUUUGGCACAGGGUUAAACAAAUAAAUCAAUGGAGCAGAAUAGAAAUCCCAGAAACAGACCCCCAAUAUUUGAACUCCUGGUGUAUGACCACACGGGGCAUUGCAGAUCAACUGGGAAACAACAGAUUUUUCAAUAAAUGGUGCUAGAAUGAUUGGGUAAUUACUUGGAAAAUAAUGAAAUUAGAGCCAUAGUUCCAGGUGAAAUAAAGAUCUAAAUGUGAAAGCCAGAACUAUAAAGCCUUUGAAUGUAAUACUGGAAAAUAACUUCAUGACCUCAGGGAAAAGGAUUUCUUAAACAAGAUACGAAAAGCGCUCUCUAUAAAGGAAAAGACAAAUUCAGACCUGCUAAAAUUAAGAGUGUCUAUUUUUCAAAAGAUACAAUAAAGAAAGUGAAAAGACAAGUUACAAGGUAGGAAAAAUAUUUGAAACAUACAUAAUUGGCAUGGAUCUAAGAUUAAGAACUUCUAUAAUCGAGAGUAAAACAACCAUUAGAAAAUGGGCAGAAAGGCUGGGUGUGGUGGUUCACACCUGUAAUCUCAGCACUUUGGGAGGCCAAGGCGGGUGGAUCACUUGAGGUCAGGAGUUCGAGACCAGCCUGGCCAACAUGGUGAAACCCCGUCUCUACUAAAAAUACAAAAAUUAGCCGGGCAUGGUGGCAGGGCCUGUAAUCCGUUACAUGGGAUGCUGAGGCAGGAGAAUUGCUUGAACCUGGGAGGCGAAGGUUGCGGUGAGCCGAGAUCGUGCUACUGCACUCCAGCCUGGGCAAUAAGAGCAAAACUC
rnacentral:lncRNA from 1 species